GGAGGCGUGGAAAGCCUUAGGAAAUGUGUCAAAGGACCAAGCCAUGCUGGAAUAUGUUCAGGAAAUACAGCUGGUUGUAAAGAUUGUAGAGAUGAAGCUCUCUCACACUGAGACAGGAUGGCAGAAUUAAUGGACACUCCUGACCCAUUUUAUGAGAUAGUGUUGGAAGGUGAUGAUGAUGAAGAAGAUGACGAGGCUAGUGAAGCAGCACCCUUAUCCACAGGAGACACUAAUGCUGAAAAAACGGAUGAUGCUGCCGCUGAGAAAGUUAAAGAGGGGGAAAGUGAAAUUAAUGGGGAAAAUAUAGAAGAUGACAUGGAGAUGGAGGAGAGGUACAGCAACAACUUUGUGUCUUUAUGUUGUGAAAUCGGCAAGACAGAUCUGACUUCUCAGCUCUUUUCUAUUCUGCAGAUUCAAGUGCAUUUGCAGCAGGGAGAGAAGAUUUAUCAGUGUUUAAUGGAAGUGAGGAGAACAGCAUGA
ensembl:lncRNA